rnacentral:rRNA from 1 species
CAGUAGCCGCGGUAAUACGAAGGGGGCUAGCGUUGCUCGGAAUUACUGGGCGUAAAGGGAGCGUAGGCGGAUCGUUUAGUCAGGGGUGAAAUCCCGGGGCUCAACCUCGGAACUGCCUUUGAUACUGGCGAUCUUGAGUAUGGGGGAGGUGUGUGGAACUCCGAGUGUAGAGGUGAAAUUCGUAGAUAUUCGGAAGAACACCAGUGGCGAAGGCGACACACUGGCCCAUUACUGACGCUGAGGCUCGAAAGCGUGGGGAGCAAACAGGAUUAGAUACCCCAGUAGUCCCUGUCUCUUAUAA